rnacentral:rRNA from 1 species
UAGGGAAUCUUCGGCAAUGGACGGAAGUCUGACCGAGCAACGCCGCGUGAGUGAAGAAGGUUUUCGGAUCGUAAAGCUCUGUUGUUAGAGAAGAACGUUGGUAGGAGUGGAAAAUCUACCAAGUGACGGUAACUAACCAGAAAGGGACGGCUAACUACGUGCCAGCAGCCGCGGUAAUACGUAGGUCCCGAGCGUUGUCCGGAUUUAUUGGGCGUCAAGCGAGCGCAGGCGGUUCUUUAAGUCUGAAGUUAAAGGCAGUGGCUUCACCAUUGUACGCUUUGGAAACGGGAGGACUUGAGUGCAGAAGGGGAGAGUGGAAUUCCAUGUGUAGCGGUGAACUGCGUAGCUAUAUGGAGGACCACCGGUGGCGAAAGCGGCUCUCUGGUCUGUAACUGACGCUGAGGCUCGAAAGCGUGGGGAGCAAACAGG